AAAUUGAAGAGUUUGAUCAUGGCUCAGAUUGAACGCUGGCGGCAGGCCUAACACAUGCAAGUCGAGCGGUAGCACAGAGAGCUUGCUCUCGGGUGACGAGCGGCGGACGGGUGAGUAAUGUCUGGGAAACUGCCUGAUGGAGGGGGAUAACUACUGGAAACGGUAGCUAAUACCGCAUAACGUCGCAAGACCAAAGUGGGGGACCUUCGGGCCUCAUGCCAUCAGAUGUGCCCAGAUGGGAUUAGCUAGUAGGUGGGGUAACGGCUCACCUAGGCGACGAUCCCUAGCUGGUCUGAGAGGAUGACCAGCCACACUGGAACUGAGACACGGUCCAGACUCCUACGGGAGGCAGCAGUGGGGAAUAUUGCACAAUGGGCGCAAGCCUGAUGCAGCCAUGCCGCGUGUGUGAAGAAGGCCUUCGGGUUGUAAAGCACUUUCAGCGGGGAGGAAGGCGUUAAGGUUAAUAACCUUGGCGAUUGACGUUACCCGCAGAAGAAGCACCGGCUAACUCCGUGCCAGCAGCCGCGGUAAUACGGAGGGUGCAAGCGUUAAUCGGAAUUACUGGGCGUAAAGCGCACGCAGGCGGUCUGUCAAGUCGGAUGUGAAAUCCCCGGGCUCAACCUGGGAACUGCAUUCGAAACUGGCAGGCUAGAGUCUUGUAGAGGGGGGUAGAAUUCCAGGUGUAGCGGUGAAAUGCGUAGAGAUCUGGAGGAAUACCGGUGGCGAAGGCGGCACCCUGGACAAAGACUGACGCUCAGGUGCGAAAGCGUGGGGAGCAAACAGGAUUAGAUACCCUGGUAGUCCACGCCGUAAACGAUGUCGAUUUGGAGGUUGUGCCCUUGAGGCGUGGCUUCCGGAGCUAACGCGUUAAAUCGACCGCCUGGGGAGUACGGCCGCAAGGUUAAAACUCAAAUGAAUUGACGGGGGCCCGCACAAGCGGUGGAGCAUGUGGUUUAAUUCGAUGCAACGCGAAGAACCUUACCUGGUCUUGACAUCCACAGAACUUUCCAGAGAUGGAUUGGUGCCUUCGGGAACUGUGAGACAGGUGCUGCAUGGCUGUCGUCAGCUCGUGUUGUGAAAUGUUGGGUUAAGUCCCGCAACGAGCGCAACCCUUAUCCUUUGUUGCCAGCGGUUCGGCCGGGAACUCAAAGGAGACUGCCAGUGAUAAACUGGAGGAAGGUGGGGAUGACGUCAAGUCAUCAUGGCCCUUACGACCAGGGCUACACACGUGCUACAAUGGCAUAUACAAAGAGAAGCGACCUCGCGAGAGCAAGCGGACCUCAUAAAGUAUGUCGUAGUCCGGAUUGGAGUCUGCAACUCGACUCCAUGAAGUCGGAAUCGCUAGUAAUCGUAGAUCAGAAUGCUACGGUGAAUACGUUCCCGGGCCUUGUACACACCGCCCGUCACACCAUGGGAGUGGGUUGCAAAAGAAGUAGGUAGCUUAACCUUCGGGAGGGCGCUUACCACUUUGUGAUUCAUGACUGGGGUGAAGUCGUAACAAGGUAACCGUAGGGGAACCUGCGGUUGGAUCACCUCCUUACCUUAAAGAA
rnacentral:rRNA from 1 species